rnacentral:rRNA from 1 species
AUUGAACGCUGGCGGCAUGCCUUACACAUGCAAGUCGAACGGCAGCACGGGAGCAAUCCUGGGGGCGAGUGGCGAACGGGUGAGUAAAGUAUCGGAACGUGCCCAGUCGUGGGGGAUAACGUAGCGAAAGUUACGCUAAUACCGCAUACGAUCUAUGGAUGAAAGCGGGGGAUCGCAAGACCUCGCGCGAUUGGAGCGGCCGAUAUCAGAUUAGGUAGUUGGUGGGGUAAAGGCUCACCAAGCCGACGAUCUGUAGCUGGUCUGAGAGGACGACCAGCCACACUGGGACUGAGACACGGCCCAGACUCCUACGGGAGGCAGCAGUGGGGAAUUUUGGGCAAUGGGCGAAAGCCUGAUCCAGCCAUGCCGCGUGCAGGAUGAAGGCCUUCGGGUUGUAAACUGCUUUUGUACGGAACGAAAAGGUUCGGCCUAAUAAGCUGAGCUCAUGACGGUACCGUAAGAAUAAGCACCGGCUAACUACGUGCCAGCAGCCGCCGUAA